ACUCAUCAAUCAUCCGGACUAUGUACCGACAGCGUUCACGUACAGCAAGACUCCGGGCGAGGCUGCUGUACGGCGGCACAACAGCUGCGUGAAAAGGCAAAGUGACUGCAAACGUAAGUAGACGAACGUGCUGCGAACAAAGCUUGUAUUGCUGCCCUGUGGGUCACGAUGUUACGUCACUAUGGAUAGGGACUGCGAAAGGCGCGUGUGAGUGUACGAUCAUCUCAGGGUAUUUAUUCGAGUUCUCUCAGCUCUGAAUCGUUUGGGGGCCGUCACUAGUUUGGCUGCCGUGUUACCGUAGGCGCUUGCAUAAGGUACAACACGUCGUCGUGCCAACGUGAAGGUGGUUCGUUGUCACGUCGGCUAGCUUGUUAUCGGCCGCUCAUAUUGUGUGUUUUAACGUAUGUACCAUCGCUGGCCGUGUUUCGUACGUUUCCUUGGUAUGCACACUAACAGGACGGUGCGAGCCGAACUACCCCGCCCCCUUCGUCCCUCUACCUUUCCCCCUUCCUUGCUUUUUUUUAUUUUCUUUUUUUGUGCACGCGAUUUUGCACAGUGCGCUGCUCUGAGUUGCACGCAGCUACACUGCUAUAAUUUUCUAAUGUAAAUACAGCGCACCAGUUAUUUUAUGAGACGGACGCACUAAAUCGCGCAGUCAACUGUAUUUGCUUGUAACACAAAGAUGACAUUACUUUGCUGUGCAACAAUGCAGUCCAUUAGCAUUUCCGUUUCUGAAAAGUUAACAUGACCUGAAACUUAAAGGCAGCAAAAAUGUGUUAUUGUAAUACAGUAUGUAAUAAUCUGAGUAUAACGAACUUUUUGGCAUUAAUGUAACAAUUUCUCAAAGUAUCUGAACAUUGUUGCUUGGCUGUAUGUAACAUAUCAUGUGUAUAAACUUGCAGGAUCUGCCAACACAGGUUCCGGUGUCUCAAGAAACAGAGCCCCAGUUUUGAAUCACCGGACACUCAGCGUACUGCAGUCAGUGAAGAGCAGCAUGGUAAACUUCCUAUUUAACACAUAAGUUUAGUUCAUUCAACGACUUGCAACCUUACGUAAAUGAUAUAUUGGAAUCGUGCUUCACUGGAAUAACCCUUGUGGGAGAGACACGUGCAAUGGAAGAAUGGCAUGACUACUGCCAUUUUAAUCCAUUCAUUGAUUAAAUGUGCACAUUACUAAAAUAAUGCAAAGGCUCUUUCCAGUCAACUAUUUUCAGUUGGGUCACAUGUCGUAGGGUCAGGAGCCUAAAUAUGCCCAAUAUCUCAUGCCAAUCGUACUUGAAAGGAAAUAACCAGUUUACCACUAUCAUAUUUAUGAUAUCGUACUCAGCAACAGUACAGAGGUUGUCUUUUUUCACAAGUUGAUGCAGGAAUGGAGUGUUCACAACAUGGCAGUAAAGCUGUAGAAGUGUUACUGCAACUUAAACCAGCAAUAAAUGAUGACCCCGACACAUCUAUGCAUGAUUUGGAUUGUAGCACUGCUGACGUAAGAUCUGCUUCUCAAGCAUCAGAAAAUGGUUCUAAGCCAGGCCCAAGCCAAAUGUGCUUGAAACACGACGACGAAAGUGAAGCAACUGCGCAGAAAGAAGUCGCA